rnacentral:rRNA from 1 species
ACUCAAAUGAAUUGACGGGGGCCCGCACAAGCGGCGGAGCAUGUUGCUUAAUUCGAGGCAACGCGAAGAACCUUACCUGGGCUUGACAUGUGGGGAAAAGCCGUAGAGAUACGGUGUCCUUCGGGGCCCCAUACAGGUGGUGCAUGGCUGUCGUCAGCUCGUGUCGUGAGAUGUUGGGUUAAGUCCCGCAACGAGCGCAACCCUUAUCCUAUGUUGCCAGCGGGUAAUGCCGGGGACUCGUAGGAGACUGCCGGGGUCAACUCGGAGGAAGGUGGGGAUGAGGUCAAGUCAUCAUGCCCCUUAUGUCCAGGGCUGCAAACAUGCUACAAUGGCCGGUACAAAGGGCUGCGAUCCCGCGAGGGUGAGCGAAUCCCAAAAAGCCGGUCUCAGUUCGGAUUGAAGUCUGCAACUCGACUUCAUGAAGUCGGAGUCGCUAGUAAUCCCGGAUCAGCAUUGCCGGGGUGAAUACGUUCCCGGGCCUUGCACACACCGCCCGU